rfam:Erythrobacter sp. HI00D59 HI00D59_c3, whole genome shotgun sequence.
CAGGCGCGCACGGGAGAGACCGGGUGGCGGCGUCCAUCCGGCGCCGAAGGAGCAACCGCCCCGGAAACUCUCAGGCUAAGCGGACCGUGCGCUCCAU